rnacentral:tRNA from 1 species
GGAGCUGUGGCUCAAUGGUAGAGCACUCACCUAGCAUAUGCGAGGCCCUGGGUUCAAUCCUCAGCACCA